rnacentral:rRNA from 1 species
GGCUCAGGACGAACGCUGGCGGCGUGCCUAACACAUGCAAGUCGAACGAAGUUAAACGCUGAUGAUUUAGCUUGCUAUUGAUUCUUGUUUAGCUUAGUGGCGGACGGGUGAGUAACGCGUGAGCAACCUGCCUUUCAGAGGGGGAUAACGUUUGGAAACGAACGCUAAUACCGCAUGAUAUGAUCAAACCGCAUGGUUUGAUGAUCAAAGGAGCAAUCCGCUGAAAGAUGGGCUCGCGUCCGAUUAGGUAGUUGGCGGGGUAACGGCCCACCAAGCCGACGAUCGGUAGCCGGACUGAGAGGUUGAACGGCCACAUUGGGACUGAGACACGGCCCAGACUCCUACGGGAGGCAGCAGUGAGGGAUAUUGGUCAAUGGGGGAAACCCUGAACCAGCAACGCCGCGUGAGGGAAGACGGUUUUCGGAUUGUAAACCUCUGUCCUCUGUGAAGAUAAUGACGGUAGCAGAGGAGGAAGCUCCGGCUAACUACGUGCCAGCAGCCGCGGUAAUACGUAGGGAGCAAGCGU